GCGGCCGUGGCGAAACGGUAGACGCACGCGCUUGAGGGGCGCGCGCCCUGUGCAUCCGAGUUCGAUUCUCGGCUGCCGCACCA
rnacentral:tRNA from 1 species